NNCGGUAGAACGGCGGACUGUUAAUCCGUAUGUCACUGGUUCGAGUCCAGUCAGAGGAGCCA
rnacentral:tRNA from 1 species